AACUUUCGGCAAUGGAUCACUUGGCUCUCGCAUCGAUGAAGAACGCAGCGAAAUGCGAUAAGUAAUGUGAAUUGCAGAAUUCAGCGAAUCAUCGAAUCUUUGAACGCACCUUGCACCCUUUGGCAUUCCGAAGGGUAUGCUCGUUUGAGUGUCAUUGUACUCUCACACUCCCGAUGCUUUUGGAUUGGGAGUGGUGGACUUGGGUGUUGCUGCUUUACUGUGGCUCACCUCAAAUGGAGUAGUGCAACUCUUGGUUGGACAUAGUACGGCGUGAUAAGUGUCUUCGCCGGCGCCUCAUUAGAGGGUGGCCGAUCGGGAGCUCUGUGCUUCAAACCGUCUUCGGACAACAUCUGACAACUUGACCUCAAAUCGAGUAGGACUACCCGCUGAACUUAAGCAUAUCAAUAAGCGGAGGCU
rnacentral:misc_RNA from 1 species